CCUUCUCCAAAUAUUCUGAUUACCUCAACAAUCUUAAUGACAAGCGGGAAAGGGUCGUAAAAGCAAGUCGCGAUAUCACCAUUAAUAGC